rnacentral:rRNA from 1 species
GCUGGAAUCGCUAGUAAUCGCGGAUCAGAAUGCCGCGGUGAAUACGUUCCCGGGUCUUGUACACACCGCCCGUCACACCAUGGGAGUCGGAAAUGCCCGAAGUCGGUGACCUAACUGAAAGGAAGGAGCCGCCGAAGGCAGGUCUGGUGACUGGGUGAAGUCGUAACAAGGUAUC